AGCAGCGCGUGUGGGGGUCUGGCUUUCACCUUCCCGCACCGACGUGGGUAGUGAGCUGAGGUCAUUGGCGGUUCUGCGUGGCGAGUCGCACUUGGGUCCACGGACAAAGCCACAGGUGGCCAAAGCCAAUGCUGAGCUCCCAGCCACCACCCGCUAAACCGUGCGCGGGGGGCCUGGGGCAGGAGGAGCGGACCUACCUACAGCCUCCAAAAGUAGAAUUUCUUCUCUCUGAAAUGGAGAAGUCGGAUUAACCUCCUCCUACUCAUUUUCCGGAACUGAGGAGCAGUGGCAAAGAAAAGGACCAUGGAGCAGAUGAUGCCAACUAUUGUGAACACUAGCCCCGUGAUGACGGCAAGUGGGUUCACUACUGAAGUCUCCGUGCCGGGGGCAGCGUCGGCCACGUGGAGGGGACCAAG